AUACGUAGGGGGCGAGCGUUGUCCGGAAUGAUUGGGCGUAAAGGGCGCGUAGGCGGCCCGGUAAGUCUGGAGUGAAAGUCCUGUUUUUAAGAUGGGAAUUGCUUUGGAUACUGUCGGGCUUGAGUGCAGGAGAGGUAAGUGGAAUUCCCAGUGUAGCGGUGAAAUGCGUAGAGAUUGGGAGGAACACCAGUGGCGAAGGCGACUUACUGGACUGUAACUGACGCUGAGGCGCGAAAGUGUGGGGAGCAAACAGGAUUAGAUACCCUGGUAGUCCACGCUGUAAACGAUGAAUACUAGGUGUGGGGGGACUGACCCCCUCCGUGCCGCAGUUAACACAAUAAGUAUUCCACCUGGGGAGUACGAUCGCAAGAUUGAAACUCAAAUGAAUUGGCGGGG
rnacentral:rRNA from 1 species